AUUGAACGCUGGCGGCAUGCUUUACACAUGCAAGUCGAACGGUAACAGGGUGCUUGCACCGCUGACGAGUGGCGAACGGGUGAGUAAUGCGUCGGAACGUGCCGAGUAGUGGGGGAUAACGCAGCGAAAGUUGUGCUAAUACCGCAUACGUACUGAGGUAGAAAGUGGGGGACCUUCGGGCCUCACGCUAUUCGAGCGGCCGACGUCUGAUUAGCUAGUAGGUGAGGUAAAGGCUCACCUAGGCGACGAUCAGUAGCGGGUCUGAGAGGAUGAUCCGCCACACGGGGACUGAGACACGGCCCAGACUCCGACGGGAGGCAGCAGUGGGGAAUGUUGGACAAUGGGCGAAAGCCUGAUCCAGCCAUGCCGCGUGUCUGAAGAAGGCCUUCGGGUUGUAAAGGACUUUUGUCAGGGAGGAAAUCCCUAGCGUUAAUACCGCUGGGGGAUGACAGUACCUGAAGAAUAAGCACCGGCUAACUACGUGCCAGCCGCCGCGGUAAGAC
rnacentral:rRNA from 1 species